AGUCUUUGAAGUUAGAUGCAUGAUUUUUGUCGAGCCUGCAACUUUUGUUGCAGAAAGCUCGACAUAGGGAUAGUUAUCCGGCGGCGGCGGUGUUAGCUCACUUCUUAAAAGCUUUAUAUUUUGGAAGGUAGAAGACCUGGAUGCUUCAUACUUUGUAUAUAGAUGCCUCAUGUUACGAACUUUCUGUCAGUCACAUGUCCAAUGUCCUUGACCUCAUUUUCAUGGUUCAGUGACUACUUGAAAAAAAAGUUAAGAUUUUUUGUAAUGUUAAAUUCUCUCUUAUUAUAAGUAAUUGGAUAACUAUAUUCGGUAUGUGCGUACCUUGCAAGGUCCUCAUGCC
rnacentral:lncRNA from 1 species